UGCCUAACACAUGCAAGUCGAACGGCAGCACGGUAUGUAGUAAUACAUAUGGGUGGCGAGUGGCGGACGGGUGAGUAAUGCAUAGGGAUCUGCCUAUAAGAGGGGGAUAACUGAGGGAAACUUCAGCUAAUACCACAUAAAGUCUACGGACCAAAGGCAGGGGACUCUGAAAGGGGCCUUGCGCUGAUAGAGGAACCUAUGUCGGAUUAGCUAGUUGGUGGGGUAAAGGCCUACCAAGGCGAAGAUCCGUAGCUGGUCUGAGAGGACGGCCAGCCACACUGGGACUGAGACACGGCCCAGACUCCUACGGGAGGCAGCAGUGGGGAAUAUUGGACAAUGGGGGGAACCCUGAUCCAGCAAUGCCGCGUGAGUGAAGAAGGCCUUCGGGUUGUAAAGCUC
rnacentral:rRNA from 1 species